rnacentral:rRNA from 1 species
AGCAGUCGCCGCGGGAAUACGUAGGGUGCGAGCGUUAAUCGGAAUUACUGGGCGUAAAGCGUGCGCAGGCGGUUCGUUAAGACAGAUGUGAAAUCCCUGGGCUCAACCUGGGAACUGCAUUUGAAACUGCAUGGCUAGAGUAUCGAAGAGGGAAGUGGAAUUUCCGGUGUAGCGGUGAAAUGCGUAGAUAUCGGAAGGAACACCAGUGGCGAAAGCGACUUCCUGGUCGAAUACUGACGUUCAUGUGCGAAAGCGUGGGGAGCAAACAGGAUUAGAGACCCGGGUAGUCCCUGUCUCUUAUAC